UGGGGAAUAUUGCACAAUGGGCGCAAGCCUGAUGCAGCCAUGCCGCGUGUGUGAAGAAGGCCUUCGGGUUGUAAAGCACUUUCAGCGAGGAGGAAGGUGGUGAGCUUAAUACGCUCAUCAAUUGACGUUACUCGCAGAAGAAGCACCGGCUAACUCCGUGCCAGCAGCCGCGGUAAUACGGAGGGUGCAAGCGUUAAUCGGAAUUACUGGGCGUAAAGCGCACGCAGGCGGUUUGUUAAGUCAGAUGUGAAAUUCCCGGGCUCAACCUGGGAACUGCAUUUGAAACUGGCAAGCUAGAGUCUCGUAGAGGGGGGUGAGAAUUCCAGGUGUAGCGGUGAAAUGCGUAGAGAUCUGGAGGAAUACCGGUGGCGAAGGCGGCCCCCUGGACGAAGACUGACGCUCAGGUGCGAAAGCGUGGGGCAGCAAACAGGAUUAGAUACCCUGGUAGUCCACGCUGUAAACGAUGUCGAUUUUGGAGGUUGUGCCCUUGAGGCGUGGCUUCCGGAGCUAACGCGUUAAAUCGACCGCCUGGGGAGUACGGCCGCAAGGUUAAAACUUAAAUGAAUUG
rnacentral:rRNA from 1 species